UACGUAGGUGGCAAGCGUUGUCCGGAUUUACUGGGCGUAAAGAGCGCGCAGGCGGUCGUUCAAGUCGCGUGUGAAAGCCCCCGGCUCAACUGGGGAGGGUCACGCGAUACUGAUCGACUCGAAGGCAGGAGAGGGUAGUGGAAUUCCCGGUGUAGUGGUGAAAUGCGUAGAGAUCGGGAGGAACACCAGAGGCGAAGGCGGCGACCUGGAGAGUGACUGACACUCAACUGCGAAAGCGUGGGGAGCAAACAGG
rnacentral:rRNA from 1 species